CCCUUAGAGUUUGAUCCUGGCUCAGAUUGAACGCUGGCGGCAUGCCUUACACAUGCAAGUCGAACGGUAACAGGUCUUCGGAUGCUGACGAGUGGCGAACGGGUGAGUAAUACAUCGGAACGUGCCCGAUCGUGGGGGAUAACGGAGCGAAAGCUUUGCUAAUACCGCAUACGAUCUACGGAUGAAAGCAGGGGACCGCAAGGCCUUGCGCGGACGGAGCGGCCGAUGGCAGAUUAGGUAGUUGGUGGGAUAAAAGCUUACCAAGCCGACGAUCUGUAGCUGGUCUGAGAGGACGACCAGCCACACUGGGACUGAGACACGGCCCAGACUCCUACGGGAGGCAGCAGUGGGGAAUUUUGGACAAUGGGCGAAAGCCUGAUCCAGCCAUGCCGCGUGCAGGAUGAAGGCCUUCGGGUUGUAAACUGCUUUUGUACGGAACGAAAAGACUCUUUCUAAUAAAGAGGGUCCAUGACGGUACCGUAAGAAUAAGCACCGGCUAACUACGUGCCAGCAGCCGCGGUAAUACGUAGGGUGCAAGCGUUAAUCGGAAUUACUGGGCGUAAAGCGUGCGCAGGCGGUUAUAUAAGACAGAUGUGAAAUCCCCGGGCUCAACCUGGGAACUGCAUUUGUGACUGUAUAGCUAGAGUACGGUAGAGGGGGAUGGAAUUCCGCGUGUAGCAGUGAAAUGCGUAGAUAUGCGGAGGAACACCGAUGGCGAAAGCAAUCCCCUGGACCUGUACUGACGCUCAUGCACGAAAGCGUGGGGAGCAA
rnacentral:rRNA from 1 species